rnacentral:miRNA from 1 species
AGAAUUGUGACUGGACAUCUGU